AACGAACGCUGGCGGCAUGCCUAACACAUGCAAGUCGAACGAUUGCCUUCGGGUGAUAGUGGCGCACGGGUGCGUAACGCGUGGGAAUCUGCCCUUAGGUUCGGAAUAACAGCUGGAAACGGCUGCUAAUACCGGAUGAUAUCGCGAGAUCAAAGAUUUAUCGCCUGAGGAUGAGCCCGCGUUGGAUUAGUUAGUUGGUGGGGUAAAGGCCUACCAAGCCGACGAUCCAUAGCUGGUCUGAGAGGAUGAUCAGCCACACUGGGACUGAGACACGGCCCAGACUCCUACGGGAGGCAGCAGUGGGGAAUAUUGGACAAUGGGCGCAAGGCUGAUCCAGCAAUGCCGCGUGAGUGAUGAAGGCCCUAGGGUUGUAAAGCUCUUUUACCCGGGAAGAUAAUGACUGUACCGGGAGAAUAAGCCCCGGCUAACUCCGUG
rnacentral:rRNA from 1 species